CCUACGGGAGGCAGCAGUGGGGAAUAUUGGGCAAUGGGCGCAAGCCUGACCCAGCAACGCCGCGUGAAGGAAGAAGGCUUUCGGGUUGUAAACUUCUUUUCUCAGGGACGAAGAAAGUGACGGUACCUGAGGAAUAAGCCACGGCUAACUACGUGCCAGCAGCCGCGGUAAUACGUAGGUGGCAAGCGUUAUCCGGAUUUACUGGGUGUAAAGGGCGUGUAGGCGGGAAAGCAAGUCAGAUGUGAAAACCAUGGGCUCAACCUGUGGCCUGCAUUUGAAACUGUUUUUCUUGAGUACUGGAGAGGCAGACGGAAUUCCUGGUGUAGCGGUGAAAUGCGGAGAUAUGAGGAGGAACACCAGUGGCGAAGGCGGUCUGCUGGACAGCAACUGACGCUGAGGCGCGAAAGCGUGGGGAGCAAACAGGAUUAGAUACCCUAGUAGUC
rnacentral:rRNA from 1 species